GCCCAUUAGCAAGCCCACCCUGACAAAAUCAACAACUCAAUGUUAAUAACCCCCCACACACAAACACCCCC
rnacentral:rRNA from 1 species